GUCCUUCUGGGUCUUAAAAAGCUGUGAUCUGCUGGUUUGAGUGGCUCACUCUGCUCACACGUAUGUAGGAAGGAUGUGUUGGGUUUCUCUUGAUGGCCUGCUGGAAGGAUAGCAGCACACAACCUUGGUUGUAUGUAAGUGAGGUAUAGCUGAGCCUGUAAGGCUUUGACAGACAAGCUGUAGCAAACUUUGGUGCACCUGUCUCAUCCAGCUUACUGCCAAAAUCUGUCAUCUGUGCAGGAGAAAGUUUAAAUCCUGAGGACAGCUAGGACGUGACUUUGUUCUGCUUUGGGCAAGGCACGCCUGGUAAACCUUGUGACACCAUUGCAACAACUGACUUGAGGUACCUACACCUAUUUGCUAUAGACUCUUUCAUGUGACCAGAAAGAUGGGACAAGUCCUUGGUGGGAAAGAUAAGCCGUGCUGCUCAAGUUGAGAAAUGCCUGUGUGCAAAUCCCUGCUGCUUUGGGAUCCUUUUUGGUCAGGACAGCAGAUGUGACCACUCUUCAGAUCCGUGUCAACCUAAAAGUAGGACUCCAUACAAGGGUUUGACAGCUUCGUUAAUUUGGAAAAUCUGCAAUAAUGCCCUGAUACGGAUCGAUCAUUGAGACGACUGCUUCAGUUGUUAGGCGUGCUUUACAGAGGCAAGCAGCAAGGCUCUGCGCUCACCUAUCUGGGCCUUUACUAUAAAAUUCACAGCUUUGCUUUGGCUGCUGCUCUUGGCAGGAGAUGUGCUGCAGCACGUGGCUUCUGCAGAGCUGACUGGCAUCAGAUGAGAAACUGGAAUAAAAUCCUUUCAAGUCCCAGCGACUGCAAGUGUCUGUGCAGGCAGCAGAUACAAGUGCAAGACUAAGACAUGCAUUUCAUGCUUCCUCCCUGCCCCAACGUGUCAGUACAUAUAAUUCACACUGGCUGUAAUUUUGAUGGCAUGAGAAUUUAGUGAGAUCAGGCUCAAGCUGGUGAUCUGAACAGCUGUUGCUUGCAAAGAGCUUUUGGUGUCAGCUGGCCCAGUAGCCAGAGCUGCAGCUCAGCCCAUGUGAGCUUUUCUGUACAGCACUUCUAUUAACUGGAGGUAAUAUUACCUAUUACCUGGAGGUGCUUGAGCCAACCUGCCUUUGUUGCCUCGGAAAGUGAGAACCCUGGG